AACGGUAUCAGGUGAUUGACAGCAGUGUCAUCCUAUCAGCACGUAGUACCUUGCAUUUAAGUCUGAUUGGCUGUUAUCUGGGAUGUGUCACGUCCGAUUUUCCCCGUUUGUUUUGCUAGCGUCGACGGUGGUUGUAGGUAAGCGAGCUGUGUUUAAUGGGUGAUUCUUUCUGGAGUUUUCCUAUGCAUAACUUUUUAAAUCAUUAUCAACUAGUGCAGCUUUGGUGCGGUGCCCUCCGUGCUGCUUAGUGGGUCUGAUGACUGUUCACCUCACAGGCGUGAUUCCCUGUAUUCCCUUGUAAAACCGAUGGGCAUGACUGACCAAUCGGUGUUUUAAGCGUGCUAUCUAGCGUGAUCUCCUGAUGGAUUCUCCUUCUCGUUCUAUGCCGUGAUUUUUUUUGCUACUGUCUUUACCCUAUUAAAGUGCUGCGGUUAAUACGGCCGCGCUGACGCGAUCAUCACUAAAGAGACGGGGACUGCUUGUUUGGUUCUUAUCGUGGCGUUAUAUUUGACCCUGGAUUGUGUGGGGGACUAUUUGGUUCCUUCCACUUGUAGGGGAGUUAGCUGCCCUUUUGUGUCUUUUGUUUGAUUUGAAACCUCUUUUGUUUAUUUUCUGUUAACUAACCUCUAAUUUUUGGAAGUAUAGUUUGUUUGGUUACCUUGAUUUUUAUUUCAUCCUUAUUUAUGUAAAGCCAAUUAAACGGCGUGUAAUAUUUAAUUAAGCCAUUUAAUUGCUUGGUUCAUGUGAUCAACCAUCUAUAAGUACAAUUUUAUUUGUGUGUGAACCUCUAUUGAGCUAAAAUUGUCUUGUAUUAUUUAGGUGACCAACUAAUUGAUGUUCCUGCGCUUGAAUGGUUUUUCUUUAUUUUUUUGUCAUUUACAUUUAUUGUUGUGAGGAUUUGCUUUAUUGAUGUCCAUCUGGUUAUUCUUUUUUAUGAACAUUGUCAUAGUUUCUUAUCUUUAUUUUGCAGACGCUGGGGUCCCACGGGUGGAUUGCUCUUCCUCCUCCUGGUGGUGGUCGUCCUUUAUCGUGUGCAGUGUACACUGUUGAGUGUGUGAUUGUGUGAUUAAGUGACACGGGGUGUGUGUGCGUGUAGAAGUGUUCCUGUCGUUGGGAGCCCCAGGCCUGCCGGUAUUUAUUUUCUGUUUUUUUUGCAUGGUUUCUCUUAUUGUUUAGUUUAAAAGUGGGUUUCAGUGUUCAACAUUUUAAAGUAUUUCUUUAUUAAUAAACAUUUGUAUUUUUGUAUUA